GAACGGUAGCACAGAGAGCUUGCUCUCGGGUGACGAGUGGCGGACGGGUGAGUAAUGUCUGGGAAACUGCCCGAUGGAGGGGGAUAACUACUGGAAACGGUAGCUAAUACCGCAUAACGUCUUCGGACCAAAGUGGGGGACCUUCGGGCCUCACACCAUCGGAUGUGCCCAGAUGGGAUUAGCUAGUAGGUGGGGUAAUGGCUCACCUAGGCGACGAUCCCUAGCUGGUCUGAGAGGAUGACCAGCCACACUGGAACUGAGACACGGUCCAGACUCCUACGGGAGGCAGCAGUGGGGAAUAUUGCACAAUGGGCGCAAGCCUGAUGCAGCCAUGCCGCGUGUGUGAAGAAGGCCUUAGGGUUGUAAAGCACUUUCAGCGAGGAGGAAGGGUAGUGUGUUAAUAGCACAUUGCAUUGACGUUACUCGCAGAAGAAGCACCGGCUAACUCUGUG
rnacentral:rRNA from 1 species